GUCUAUUAUGAAGUUAUUUAUAGUUUGGCCUGCUCCCUGACUAUAAAGUUAAAGAGCCGCGGUAAUUUGACCGUGCAAAGGUAGCAUAAUCAUUAGUUUCUUAAUUGGGAACUUGUAUGAAAGGUCUGACAAAGGAAAAGCUGUCUUUAUUGUAAAGGUUGAAUUUAACUUUUAAGUGAAAAGGCUUAAAUGAUUUAGAGGGACGAUAAGACCCUAUAAAGCUUUAUAUAAAAAAUAAUCAAAAUUGAAUUUAUAAUAAAAAUUUAAAUUAAUUAUUAUAUUUUAUUGGGGUGAUAUUAAUAAAAGUAAUAUUAACUGUUAAAAAAAAAAUACGUGAAUAAAAGAAUUGAAUAUAUUAAUGAUCCUUGUUUAAAGAUUAAAAGAUUAAGUUACUUUAGGGAUAACAGCGUAAUUCUUCUUAAGAGUUCAUAUCGAAAGAAGAGAUUUUGACCUCGAUGUUGAAUUAAAAUAUCUGUGUAAAGUAGCCAUUACAUGAGAAGGUCUGUUCGACCUUUAAAUUUUUACAUGAUUUGAGUUCAAACCGGCGGGAG
rnacentral:rRNA from 1 species